rnacentral:rRNA from 1 species
GACGAACGCUGGCGGCGUGCUUAACACAUGCAAGUCGAACGGUGAAGCGCCUUCCUUUUUGGUGGGUGUGGAUGAGUGGCGAACGGGUGAGUAACACGUGAGUAACCUGCCCCCUUCUUCUGGAUAACCGCAUGAAAGUGUGGCCAAUACGGGAUAUUCUGGGUCUGUCGCAUGAUGGGUCUGGGAAAGAUAUUGUUUCGGUGGGGGAUGGGCUCGCGGCCUAUCAGCUUGUUGGUGGGGUGAUGGCCUACCAAGGCGGUGACGGGUAGCCGGCCUGAGAGGGUGGGCGGCCAGAGGGGGACGGAGCCACGGUGAAGGCUCCGGAGGGAGGCAGCAGGGGGGAUUAUUGCAAAGUGGGGGAAAGCCUGGAGCGGCGCGGGCGGGGGAGGAAUGAGGCCCUUGGGGUUGGGAACCUCUUUCGAUGGGAAAGAGGGCUCGCCUCGUUUGGGGGGGGGUUGACGGAAGCGGAUAAAGAGGCGCCGGCUAACUACGUG